CGGGGUGCAGCAGGCGCGAAAACUUUACAAUGCUGGCAACAGCGAUAAGGGGACCUCGAGUGCCAGGAUACAAUCUUGGCUGUCGUAAUGCCUAAAAAGCAUUGCAUAGCAAGGGCCGGGCAAGACCGGUGCCAGCCGCCGCGGUAACACCGGCGGCUCGAGUGGUAACCGCUAUUAUUGGGUCUAAAGGGUCUGUAGCCGGCCGGAUAAGUCUUUUGGGAAAUCUGGCAGCUUAACUGUCAGGCUUUCAGAAGAUACUGUUUCGGCUCGAGGCCGGGAGAGGUGAGAGGUACUUCAGGGGUAGGGGUGAAAUCUUGUAAUCCUUGAAGGACCACCAGUGGCGAAGGCGUCUCACCAGAACGGUCCUGACGGCAAGGGACGAAAGCUAGGGGCACGAACCGGAUUAGAUAUCCGGGUAGUCCUAGCCGUAAACGAUACUCGCUAGGUGUCGGCCACGGUGCGACCGUGGUCGGUGCCGUAGGGAAGCCGUGAAGCGAGCCACCUGGGAAGUACGGCCGCAAGGCUGAAACUUAAAGGAAUUGGCGGGGGAGCACAAGGGCGAAUCGCG
rnacentral:rRNA from 1 species